rnacentral:rRNA from 1 species
AAGCUCAGCUUUUGUUGGGUGGAUGAGUGGCGAACGGGUGAGUAACACGUGAGUAACCUGCCCCCUUCUUUGGGAUAACGCCCGGAAACGGGUGCUAAUACUGGAUAUUCACUGGCCUUCGCAUGGGGGUUGGUGGAAAGGGUUUUUCUGGUGGGGGAUGGGCUCGCGGCCUAUCAGCUUGUUGGUGGGGUGUUGGCCUACCAAGGCUUUGACGGGUAGCCGGCCUGAGAGGGUGACCGGUCACAUUGGGACUGAGAUACGGCCCAGACUCCUACGGGAGGCAGCAGUGGGGAAUAUUGCACAAUGGGCGCAAGCCUGAUGCAGCGACGCCGCGUGAGGGAUGGAGGCCUUCGGGUUGUGAACCUCUUUCGCUCAUGGUCAAGCCGCAACAAUGGUUGUGGUGAGGGUAGUGGGUAAAGAAGCGCCGGCUAACUACGUGCCAGCAGCCGCGGUAAUACGUAGGGCGCGAGCGUUGUCCGGAAUUAUUGGGCGUAAAGGGCUUGUAGGCGGUUGGUCGCGUCUGCCGU